rnacentral:rRNA from 1 species
CAGUAGCCGCGGGAACACGGAGGGAGCUAGCGUUGUUCGGAAUUACUGGGCGUAAAGCGCGCGUAGGCGGUUACUCAAGUCAGAGGUGAAAGCCCGGGGCUCAACCCCGGAACUGCCUUUGAAACUAGGUGACUAGAAUCUUGGAGAGGUCAGUGGAAUUCCGAGUGUAGAGGUGAAAUUCGUAGAUAUUCGGAAGAACACCAGUGGCGAAGGCGACUGACUGGACAAGUAUUGACGCUGAGGUGCGAAAGCGUGGGGAGCAAACAGGAUUAGAUACCCCAGUAGUCCCUGUCUCUUAUAC